rnacentral:tRNA from 2 species
GCCCCUAUAGCUCAGUUGGUAGAGCUACGGACUUUUAAUCCGCAGGUCCCAGGUUCGAGUCCUGGUGGGGGCACCC